AGAGUUUGAUCCUGGCUCAGGACGAACGCUGGCGGCGUGCUUAACACAUGCAAGUGGAGCGACGAACCAGGGCUUGCCCUGGGGCAGAGCCGCGAACGGGUGAGUAACACGUGGGUUACCUGCCUCGAUGACCGGGACAACCCGAGGAAACUCGGGCUAAUACCGGAUGUGCCCGCAAGGGGGAAAGGAAGCUUCGGCCUCCGCAUCGAGAUGGGCCCGCGGCCCAUUAGCUUGUUGGUGAGGUAACGGCUCACCAAGGCUUCGAUGGGUAGCUGGUCUGAGAGGACGAUCAGCCACACUGGGACUGAGACACGGCCCAGACUCCUACGGGAGGCAGCAGUGGGGAAUCUUGCGCAAUGCGCGAAAGCGUGACGCAGCAACGCCGCGUGGGGGAAGAAGGCUUUCGGGUUGUAAACCCCUUUCAGUUGGGACGAAGCUUCUCCGGUGAAUAGCCGGACGGAGUGACGGUACCUUCACAAGAAGCACCGGCUAACUACGUGCCAGCAGCCGCGGUAAUACGUAGGGUGCAAGCGUUGUCCGGAAUUAUUGGGCGUAAAGAGCGUGUAGGCGGCCCCGUUAGUCCGCUGUGAAAGUCCAGGGCUCAACCCUGGAAUGCCGGUGGAUACUGCGGGGCUAGAGUCCGGAAGGGGCGAGUGGAAUUCCUGGUGUAGCGGUGAAAUGCGCAGAUAUCAGGAGGAACACCAAUGGCGAAGGCAGCUCGCUGGGACGUGACUGACGCUGAGACGCGAAAGCGUGGGGAGCAAACAGGAUUAGAUACCCUAGUAGUCC
rnacentral:rRNA from 1 species